GUCUCCAUGGUCUAGUUGGUUUUAUGACGGCGGUCUCAUAUUAGUACAUGACAGCUCAACAAAGAGUUGGUUAUCCGCAGGUCACGAGUUCGAUUCUCGUUGGAGGCA